UGGCUCUCGCAUCGAUGAAGAACGCAGCGAAAAGCGAUAUGUAAUGUGAAUUGCAGAAUUCAGUGAAUCAUCGAAUCUUUGAACGCAUCUUGCGCUCUUGGGUAUUCCUAAGGGCAUGUCUGUUUGAGUGUCGCGUACCCUUAUCAAACAGCCGUUUGUUUGCAAAAAAGACCUACGGCAGUUUGCAAGUGGAGUUUGAGAUAAAGGGCCUUCUUUGGCGCCGCUUAUCUUGUUCUCUGAAAUUCAAAUAAGCACCGACGUGCUGCUUGGCGUAAUAAUUAUUUCGCAGAGACAGUUGCGUAUCAAAAAAGUGUCUUGUUCUAUACUAUACUACAUUAGAAAACUACCUUUCGUGGGUUGGUUUCUCUAUUAUAGACCUCAAAUCAGGCAGGACUACCCGCUGA
rnacentral:misc_RNA from 1 species